GGUAGUAGGGGUAUAAAGCAAGGUGUGAGCUCUCCCAGCCCUGAGUCACAAAGCCAGAGCUCAAAUCCACCCUGGUGCUAAAGCAGCAGCUGGAAUGCAAGGAGUUCAAGUCAUUUCAGGCUAGCCUGUCUCCUGUGCUGCUGCCAAGCCCACGGUGCCCAGGCUCAGGCCGGGGCAUGGGGUUUCCAGAUGACUGGGACAAGGAGCUGCCCACGCCCCUGCCCUCCCUGCAGGAGGCAUCUCUGGGGAGGCACCCCAGGGCCAACCCCCCCGGCAAGCUAGUGCUGUGCCCCAAGUGUGCCCCUGCUGCAUGUGUCCCAGGUGCUGUGCAAGGAGCUGUUUGCAUGUACUGAGGGGUGCCCGACCAACUAGGCCCUACUGCUGCUGAUCACCCUGGUGCACCUGCACUCCUGGCAGGAGACCCUGAGCUUUGACAAAUCAGGGGCCAAGCCCAGGCUGCCCCACAACCUUGGCUACCACCUGGAGGGCUACCUGUGGCUGCACUACACAUCCUUUCCCCCUGCAGUUGAAGAGGACAUCGCCACUGGCAUUGACACAUUCCUCAAUGUAUGAGAGGCCUGUGCCCACCUAGCUGUGGGGGUGUGGGCUGCUCAAUAAAGUUUUGCACUGUC